UACGUAGGGUGCGAGCGUUGUCCGGAAUUAUUGGGCGUAAAGAGCUCGUAGGCGGUCUGUCGCGUCGGCUGUGAAAACUCGGGGCUCAACCCCGAGCCUGCAGUCGAUACGGGCAGACUAGAGUGCUGUAGGGGAGACUGGAAUUCCUGGUGUAGCGGUGAAAUGCGCAGAUAUCAGGAGGAACACCAAUGGCGAAGGCAGCUCGCUGGGACGUGACUGACGCUGAGACGCGAAAGCGUGGGGAGCAAACAGG
rnacentral:rRNA from 1 species